rnacentral:pre_miRNA from 1 species
AUGUAGGGCAAUCUGUCUUUAAGUAGGGAUAAAUAACUCUAAAAGAAAUGAAUCCUAGAUAGUUUUCCCUUCAAGUCAAGUAUCUUGU